rnacentral:rRNA from 1 species
UGCUACGAUCAUACUAGGUUGAAAGCACCGCAUCCCGUCAGAUCUGCCGUCAGAUCUGCGAAGUUAAGCAACGUUAGGCCGGGUUAGUACUAUGGUUGGUGACAACAUGGGAACACUCGGUGUCGUAGGCU